AAGAUCAGGAGCAUGUGUACUAAAAUUGGAAUGAUACAGGGAAAAUUAGCAUGGCCCCUGUGCAAGGAUAACACACAAAUUCGUGAAGCGUUCCAUAUUUUU